GAGGCGAACCAUAUAUAUGUCGUGCAGCAGCGGCACCACCUACCCUCAUGCAGCAGCUUUUCAUCGGCAACAAGCAGGACACCCCUCUCAGGGCAUUUGACUUGGGCUUCUCCAUGCAUGUUGUGACCAGGUAAACAAGGAGGAUGAGUUCAGCACGGGCCUUUAUCUGUGCUCAUGCUGAGUGUCAACAACAACACUCAAGUUUGUGAACUCUCUUGCUUGUACUGAGACUCUCAGGUUGGAAUUUUCUUUCUACUGUGUCCUGCCUUUGUUUGAAUUUAACACCCGUUGGUCUUUCCGUCAUGUGUACAUUUGGUAGAAACCAUAUUGAUCUAGUUGAUGUGCAAGUGAGUCUUAGUUUCAUGAA